rnacentral:rRNA from 1 species
UACGGGGGGGGCAAGCGUUGUUCGGAAUUACUGGGCGUAAAGGGCGCGUAGGCGGCCUGUUAAGUCGGACGUGAAAUCCCCGGGCUCAACCCGGGAACUGCGUCCGAUACUGGCAGGCUUGAAUCCGGGAGAGGGAUGUGGAAUUCCAGGUGUAGCGGUGAAAUGCGUAGAUAUCUGGAGGAACACCGGUGGCGAAGGCGGCAUCCUGGACCGGCAUUGACGCUGAGGCGCGAAAGCCAGGGGAGCAAACGGG